rnacentral:rRNA from 1 species
CCUACGGGAGGCAGCAGUGGGGAAUAUUGCGCAAUGGGCGAAAGCCUGACGCAGCGACGCCGCGUGAGGGAUGAAGGUCUUCGGAUCGUAAACCUCUGUCAGCAGGGAAGAACGGUCACUGUGCUAAUCAGCAGUGAAUUGACGGUACCUGCAAAGGAAGCACCGGCUAACUCCGUGCCAGCAGCCGCGGUAAUACGGAGGGUGCGAGCGUUAAUCGGAAUUACUGGGCGUAAAGCGCUCGUAGGCGGUAUGUCAAGGCAAGGGUGAAAUCCCCGCGCUCAACGUGGGAACUGCCUUUGAAGCUGGCAAACGGGAGUGGGUGAGAGGAUAGUGGAAUUCGAGGUGUAGGAGUGAAAUCCGUAGAUAUCUGGAGGAACAUCAGUGGCGAAGGCGACUAUCUGGCACAUAACUGACGCUGAGGAGCGAAAGCGUGGGUAGCAAACAGGAUUAGAUACCCGAGUAGUC